rnacentral:rRNA from 1 species
UACAGAGACCUCGAGCGUUAUCCGGAAUCAUUGGGCGUAAAGCGUACCGAUAGGUGGUUUUGAAAGUCAGAGGUGAAAUUACAAAGCUUAACUUUGUAACUGUCCUUUGAAACUUCAAGACUAGAGGGGCAAAGAGGAAGCUGGAACAAACGGUGUAGUAGUAAAAUGCGUUGAUAUCGUUUAGGAACACCAAUGAGCGUAGGCAGGCUUCUGGGUGCCACCUGGACACUGCUAGGACGAAAGCGUGGGGAGCGAAGUGGG